rnacentral:rRNA from 1 species
GACGAACGCUGGCGGCGUGCCUGAUACAUGCAAGUAGAACGCAGUUGCGAACGGGUGAGUAACGCGUAGGUAACCUGCCUCAUAGCGGGGGAUAACUAUUGGAAACGAUAGCUAAUACCGCAUACUGUGAGAUUGACCUGCGUUGUAUUAGCUAGUAGGUGGGGUAACGCCUCACCUAGGCGACGAUCCCUAGCGGGUCUGCAAGGAUGACCGGCAACACUGGAACGGGGACACGGGCCAAACUCCUACGGGAGGCAGCAGGGGGGAAUAUUGGAAAAUGGGCGCAAGCCUGAUGCAGCCAUGCCGCGUGGAUGAAGAAGGCCUUCGGGUUGUAAAGUACUUUCAUCGAGGAGGCGUUACUCGCAGAAGAAGCACCGGCUAACUCCGUGCCAGCCGCCGCGGUAAUAC